rnacentral:rRNA from 1 species
ACGCUCGACACCUACGGGAGCAGCAGUGGGGAAUAUUGCACAAUGGGGGAAACCCUGAUGCAGCGACGCCGCGUGAAGGAAGAAGUAUUUCGGUAUGUAAACUUCUAUCAGCAGGGAAGAAAAUGACGGUACCCGACUAAGAAGCCCCGGCUAACUACGUGCCAGCAGCCGCGGUAAUCUGAGCGGGCUGGCAAGGC